rnacentral:tRNA from 1 species
UAAAAAAUGGUGUUAAGGGUGCACUAGGGGUUUUGGUCCUCUAAGUAUGGGUUCAAUUCCCAUUUUUUUAG